AAUAUAGAACAGCCUUUGUGCCGGAAACGGCGUAUCGGCCCGGCAAUGUUACUUUUGAGGCAGGACGGACGUGUGCUCUGUCAUGCGGGGAUGUGGAUCCUGUGCGACAAAGUUCUGUGAACCAUGUCAGGCGGGGAACCGAGCAGCAUUAAGCAGAGUGCUUUGUGUGCCGCAGGUCAUCUGCAUCCCCGCAUGAGAGGGCAGCUCGCCCGGCCUGCUGUUUU
rnacentral:misc_RNA from 1 species